GAUACAUAUUUGACCAUAUACGUUUUGGCAACUAGUAAAAUUUAUUAGUCAAAACUCAUAUUCGUAAAUAUAUUUAUGAAGUAUUUGAAUAUUUUCACCUAUAUAUAUACUUUAUACAUAUAAGAUUUACAAGUUAAGAAAAACACACUAGUUCAAACCAAAAUAAAUAAAGAUCAAAGUUCUCACCAAGUGUUUAGAAAAAUUGUUGAUGGCUGGUGAUCAAAUCAUGCAUGCACAACCUGAAGUUUUAGGUAUAAGUGAGAAAUUCUUGGAUACGAGUUUGGUUUUCGAUUAAUGAAAAACAUAUAUCCCUAAUAUUUUUUUCUUUAUUUCUAGCUAUUGAUGAAACCAAUAACUAUUUGAAUGGUAUAUUAUGGAAGUUAUGUGCUGGACCUCUGUUUGAUACUCCAGAAGUUGGAGAGAAAGUAUAUUACUUUCCCCAGGGGCAUAUAGAGCAGGCAAUAUUUUUUUAUCUUUUUUGAAACUUUUAUAUCAUUUCACUUAUAUUUUAAUUUGUAAGACUUACUCAACAAUUUGAUGGUAUUACCAGCUAGUUUCCUCUAUGAACGAAGAUCUUUUUCAACUAAAACCAAUUUUUGAUAUUCCUUAAAAAAUUUGUUGUAAUGUUUUUAGUAUCAACCUUAAGGUAUGCCUCUUUGAUUAUAUAUGUUUCUUAUUUAUAAAAUACAGAUGAUGUAAAAUGACUUAGACUCUUACUGAUAUUGUUUCCGGUAUAUUUUAUCUAUGUUCGUAGGUAGAGACCAAUACUAAUGAAAUUUAUGCAGAAGUUUCUUUGGUGUCGGAUAUAUCUGUGAGUAGAAAAAUAAAAUUUAUUUAUUUUAACAUUAGUUCUUCUUACAAUCCCUUUUAAGUAAUUUAAUAAAUUCUAUGUUCUCAGGAUGUUGAAAUCCCUAUUCCUAAAAACGAAAACAACAUACAAAACAUUAACUAUUUCACCAAGGUGUCAAGUGCUUCUGAUACCCACACAAAUGGUGGUUUUGUUUUGUAUAAAAGACAUGCCAUUGACUGUCUUCCCCUGUUGGUAAUUACCCUGGGCUUACAUUAACUCAUAUUGUAAAUCCUUAUAUAAAAUUUUGGAUUUAAUGUUUUUAGGAUAUGUCUCAGCUAACCACAAGUCAAGAGAUAAUUGCUAAAGAUAUUUAUGGUCAUGAAUGGAGUUUUAAACACACUUUAAGCGGUGACCAUUCUAUGUUUCAUUUCAAAAUUUGUGAGUACUUAUUACUGAUCUAUAUUAUGUUUACAAACAAGCAACUAGGUACACCAAAAAACAUCUUUUCACAUCUGGUUGGAAUGAGUUUGCAAAAAGAAAAAAACUGGUUGCUGUAGACUCUUUUGUAUUCCUUCGGUAUAUAUAUCCGUUUUGCCAUUUUCGAUCUCUUUCUUUCCUUCAAUUUGUAUUUUAACUACUUGUUAUCCUAGAGGAGAGAAUGGGGAAUCACGAGUUGGUAUCAGUAAAGCAGCUCAUCAUCAACGCAACAUACCAACAUCUUUAAUUUCAAAACAGAGUAUGCACCAUAGUGUGGUUGCUACUGCACUGAAUGCUAUUAAAAACAAAUGUAUGUUCGUUGUGUUAUAUAAGCCAAGGUAAUAAUUGUUUUACUCUAAUUAAACUUUAUGUAAAUAGUUUAUUGAAAAUAUAUUUUUAUUUAUUUGAUGUGAUGAUAUGAGGUCGAGCCAAUUCCUUGUCAACUUCGAAAAAUUUGUAGACAGAGUGAAUAACAAGUUUAGUAUAGGCUCCAAAUUUUCGAUGAAGUUCGAAGGAAAAGAUCUAAAUGAAAUAAGGUGAAUCUUAAACAUUUAUUUUAUUUUAUUUUUUCAAAAUAUGAUUACUUACACAAAUGAUUUUACUACAAUAGAUACAAUGGAACAAUAGUAGGAGUAAGAGAUUUCUCCACUCAUUGGAAGGAUUCAGAAUGGCGAAGUAUAAAAGUAAGAAUAGUAUUAGUUCCACUUACAUAUAUUAUUUUAGAAUAUAUAUUAAAAAGAGUAAUAUAUAAUAUCCAAUAACUCUAUUUUAUAGGUGCAAUGGGAUGAAGGUGCAACAAUUCCAAGACUUGAUAAGGUAUCUCCAUGGGAGAUUGAGCUGUUAACACAUUCAUCAAAAAUAUUCAAGUCAGAUGAUCUAAAACAUAAACGUCAAAUCGAAGUACAUGAGUUUGGUAUGUAAACAUUACUCUAUAAGUUAAAACUUGUUUGUGAAUUCUUUAUCAUUCUAUUGAUGUGUAUAGGUUAAAAAAUGUGGGCUCCUACCUUGUCCCAAGGCCAAGAAUUUAGACAAUCGAGCAUACAAUCUUCCAUGAGAUUCUCAUUCCCUACCAUCUACAGUGAGCAAAUGAUUCAAGCAAUGAAAGAAACGUCAACCACAACCGCAACUACUAGCUGCAGACCGUUUGGAGUUGAUCUAAUGGUUCCCGCUAUAACAAAGGAUCCAGUGGAACCUAUUGACUCAUACAAAAAAUUUAAGAUUUCUAAAAUCUUUGAAAACGAAAGGGUUGACCAUGUCGAAGCUAAAAGUCGUACUAAGGUAUGAAAAAGAUCACCAUCUUCUUAUUUUUUACUUACUAUUCAAGUUUUAAACUAUUUAUUAUGUACAACCCAAACAUUAGAAAACGUAGACUUUAGUAAAAGGUUAUGUUGUGUGGUAAAUUAUAUAUAUAUAUAUGUGUGUGUGUGUGUGUGUUCUUUCAUCGACAGUUUUAUUCUAAAAUUAGAUUUUGAUUAAAAUUGCAUAAUUUUCAAUAGACUGAAAUUACUAUAAUUUUUGUAUUCUCUUGAUAUGCCUAUUGCCCAGGUUCAUAUGGAAGGUGUCAUAGAAAGGACUGUAGAUUUAACUAUAUUUGAUGGAUACAAUCAGUUGAUAGAUGAACUAGAAAGACUCUUUGAUAUCAAAGGCGAGUUGCAUAUGCACAAUCAAUGGAAAAUGUUUUUUAUAUAUGAUGAUGGAGAUAUGAUGAUUCUUGGAGACCAUCCCUGGCCGUAAGUUUUCUUUCUUUUCUAUUUUUUCUUAUUAGUUGCAAAACUUAGUGAGUACUUUUAUUACUGUGUAGCAAAUUUUGCAAUAUGGCUAAGGAAAUAUUCAUAUGUUCGAAAGAGGAUGUCAAGAUAGAGAUAGCAAAUAACAGAUUCUUCGAAGGUGAUCCAACAUUAACAACAACAAUCUUACCACCAGAUGUCAACAACAAUUAGAGAGAGUUUUAUUUUAAAAAUUAAAACUUGUUUGUUUUUAUUAUAUAUUAAAUAAAAGAGUUUGAAAUUUGUGUAACUUAAACAUAUAUUAUGGAGUGUAUUGGUAUUUGAUGAUUGGUGUCUUGUCUAGCGGUUGAAGUUUUAAAUAAAACAAAUAUAUUUUUUUCUUCUUUUUAAUAUUUUGUUGACUUGUUUAGUAUUGUGUGUGUAUGUCUUUUUGUUAUUACAUAUAUUAUGAGACGUUUGACAUUUGAUGCCGGCAUGUAAUCACUUUUCUCAAGAACUCUCUGCAAGAGGUAACAUGAAUAAUUAACUCGGUGGAUAUGACUUAUAUAAGGAAUCGGAAAUGCUACUCCCAAAACUACUUUCACAGCUUCAGAGACUUGGAGUCAUCUUCAGGUUCAGCUUCCUUUUUUCAAUGGCAUUCAAAGCCUCAAUCCCAAGCAUGGAUAGGCUAAAGGGUUGGGGUCUCAAUGUUCCCUCAGAUUGUCUUAUUUGCGCAAGCCACCAAAAGAACAGACAACACAUAUUUUUGGUUGCUCAUAUUCCUUUGAGAUUUGAUAUUUCUUCUCGUCCAAACUCCAUUAGUGCUGUUAUCCAAGCCAGUAAGGUGCAUCAACAUAUUCAGAUUGUGCUUCAGGGGGCAAGGAACAGAUUGAGCAGGAGCGCAGUCUUUGUAAUGAACACCACCGAGCUUAUAAACUGUUCCCUUGCUGUAUGCACGCCCUAAAGAAGAAAAAAUGGAAAUGAGUUAGCAGUUAGGUGAUUAAACUAAACACCUAUCACAGGCAAUGGAAAUCUACUCAGAAUAGCACAGAGUUCACUAUAUCAAUAACUUAGCAUUAUACCAAACAAUUAAGCAAGUUAAUCCAGUUGAGGCAAAGAGUUAACUCUGGGAGUCGAAAUAUGCACAAUCAAAUAAUAGUGAAGAAAACAAAGCUUUUACGGGGGUUUAGUCUGCAAAGCCAAUGACAAGUAAUCAAAAAUAUGCAGAAACGAAAUAAGAUAAUACGAAAAACAAACUUAAAACAAGAGACUUUUAUUCUGAGUUUAUGUAUAAGCAUUCUAGAGACUGAAUCAAACAUGAUGUUUGUCUGGAAGGGAGAUUACAACAGAAAUUUAAUAAACCGGGCAGUAAAACCUGUCUAAGUUCACUAGAGUAACCACCUAUAUCAAGAAAACCUAUGUGACUUGCAACUCAUUUAGCAAAAGAAGAAAAUAAAGCCAAAGGUUCGUAAUUGCAGAGACUAAGUUUCUUCCCCCUUUCUUCUCUGUCCCGGCUUUGUUUAUAUACACCUCCAAGAUUGCCUGUAUUGUCAUUUUUGUGUUAAUCCAUAUCUUCCAUUUUCUCCCAUCUUUCUUUAUUUGUCAAGAUUUGAGUUUUAACUCUUCCGAAAAUCUUUCAUUAUCAUGUUUUCUUCCUUAUUCCUCCCCAUACAAAGUAAAGAAUUGAUAUACCAUGGUUUGUAUGAAUUUUAACCAUGUCAUAAUUCUGAUUUCAGAGUAUAAAUUAUUGUUUUGGAUUCAUUUUAGGGUCUUUGCAGGUUCAUGUACACGUUGGAGAAUUUUGGAGAUUCUAGAGUAAUUUGAGAUGCAUAACAGUGUUGAUGUGUCAGAGGUUUAACACCGGAUGGAGGUCUUCCCACCAAUGGAUUAAGCUCAUAAUUUUACACAAGAUAUAGAAACCGAUUUAGAUUUUAAAUUCUGCCGGUUUGAGGUCGAUCCAUUGGUUAGAUAAAAAUUUGUCUGCAUAUUACUCAAGAGUGGUCCGUCUAACGCACGAGAGGAAGCUGCUGAGAUUAUAGUGUGGUGUCAAGCAACACCACAUGGGUACCGAACGCACUACAAAAAAGUCCACAUUGAUAGCACAUUAUUAUAGCACGUUUUACUAAACUGCUAUCGUAGAUGAGUUUGAAAUUUAUGUUUUAUAUAAUAGCAUUAGAUAAACGCUAUGAUAGGAUGAAUCCUAAAAUAACAUUUAAUUAAUGUUAUUUUUAAAAUUAAGUGAGCGAAAAAAAAAACCACUGAUUCCGCCAAUAAUUAGCGGGAAAUUAUAAUUAAGUACCAAAAACAUUAUUUAAGCGGUUUCAGUAAUGUUAUCAAAAACAUGUAAUAGCAUUUUUCUAACGCUAAGAAAUGCUAUUUGAAUCCCUAAACCCUAAACAUGGUUUUAAACUCUAAACUCUAAAGACAACCCUUAAACUAUCUUUUCAUGUUAUAAUUUCAAAUCUUAAAAUUAAACUCAAAAUUUAAUCUGUUUAAUCAUAAACUAUAAUUUCCUAAUUUUUUUUUGGCAACAAACAUUUACAGGCUCAUGUUGACUCUGUAAACCAAAUUGGUAACUCCGCAUCCAUGUGAACGAUGAAAGACGGUUGUUUCCUAGCACUGCGUGCUAAGCUAUCCGCCCGUAGGUUCUCCGUCCGGGGUACAUGAACGAUGUCUGAGUUGAAGAAUUUUUUUUUUAAAAGCUUAACGUCUUUCUGGUAACUUCCAAAUGCUGCCCAUUCUUCUGGUUCCGAAACUAUCUUCACCAAUUGAGAACAAUCUGUUGCAAACGUAAACUGAAACUGUCUUAAAUUUUUCAUACAUUCCAUUGCCCAAAUUAAUGCUUCCACCUAUGAAUGUAGAGGUGAAAGACAUGCCCUUACAUUCCUUGCCCAUAGUAAACCAUCAAACCCCUGUAAAGUGCUAUACCAGCCUUGCCCUGAAAAUAAGUCCUUGUCUUUCCAUGAACCAUCUAUGAAGCACCAUCGUCCUGAAGUCGGUACUGUGGGUCUGUUUUGUGCCUGAUGCUCCCUCGUUUGAUCCUUUACUACAUGUGCCUCAACUUAAAGUGUUGAUUCCAAUUCUGCUAUUUUCAGUGUGUCCCUUGUAUCAAUAUUUAGAUUACUAAACACUUUGUUAUUCCGACUUUUCCAUAUAUACCAUAAUAUCCAUGCAAAUUGGUGGUCAUCCAUCCCUGGAUUGACUCUCCAAAAUAGAUGAUCCAUGUUGGCGAAAAAAGAACUAAUAGGAAAAAUAUUGGGGUUCGAUGGUAUCUUAGAUAAAGCCCAUACUUGACGUGCUGGAGGACAUUAAAAAAACACAUGGUUUAUUGAUUCCUCCGGAUCUCCACAUCGAGCACAACAUAUAUCCCCUUGUAUUCCCCUCGUUUGUAGAUUUUUCAUUACCGCUAUACAUCCUGAAAGGAUUUGCCAUAAGAAACGUUGUAUCUUCGGGGGGCCACCGCACUUUCCAGUAGAAAGCUUUUAGUAUAUCCACUGUGGGACCAUUAAAUUCUGGUGGUUUUUCCCUGUCAGGAUAGACCCGUUCCACUGGAUAACCUGAUUGAACCGAGUAUUUCCCAUUGUUAGUGAAAUGCCAUCCAUUCCUAUCUUCCAUCUGAUUUCUACUUAAAGGUAUACUUUCUAUAAUGUUUACAUCAUGAGGGUCCACCAAAGCCCUGAUUGCCUGUAAAUUCCAUGUUCGGGAUUCCGAGUUAAUGAGAGAAUCCACUGUUAGGUCCGGGUAACUGUUUUGAAGGUUUUUGUUUGCUGGUCUCGGACGAGUGGCUGGGAUCCAAGGAUCAUUCCAUACUGAAAUAGAUGAACCUGUUCCCACCCUUUUAAUUAAUCCUUUACAAACCAAAGAUCUAGCAGAAAUAAUGCUCCUCCAGCCAUAUGACGGAGAGUAUGAACGGAUCGGUUCCAAGGGUGAAGCAUUCCUAUAGUACUGUCCUUUGAAGACUCUUGAAAAAAGAGUAUUUGGCUUCUCAAUCAGCCUCCACAAUUGCUUUCCAAGCAUCGCCGUGUUAAAAUCAAUAAGAUCCUUAAAGCCUAGUCCACCAUUAUUUUUAGGAACACAUAAUUUAUCCAAUGAUUUCCAAUGCAUACAUUUUGUGCUUCCUCAUGGAUUUCACCAAAACUGAGCUACUGCACUUGUUAACUUUUUAACUGUAGCCUUCGGUAACCGAUAAACAGACAUCACAUGAUUUGGCAAUGCCGUAACCACCGAUUUAAUAAUCACCUCUUUCCCUCCUUUAGUAAAGAAUCGAAAAGUCCAUCCAUUAACCAUAUUAUUCAAGCAUUCUUGUACAAAGUCAAACACUUGUACCUUAGAACCUCCCAGACUUUCUGGUAAACCUAAAUAAGAUCUCAUUCCUCCUAUAUUUCGGAUUCCCAAAAUAUCUCUCAAUUCUUAACGGCUAGAUUCUUCAAUUUUAUGUCCAAAUUGAAUUGAAGAUUUCUGGAAAUUAAUUUGUUGCCUUAAGACAGUCUCAUAUUCCUUUAGAAUCCUGAGAAUAGUUUGACAUUUCUCUUUAUUUGUCUUACAAAAGAAAAGAUUGUCAUCUGCAAAUAGCAAAUGAGAAAUUGCUCGACAAGCUCUUGCUACUUUCAGACCAGUUAAUUAUUUCACUCUCUCCGCCUUCUUAAUAUUCACAAUUAAUGCCUCAGUGCACAUGAUAAAUAAAUAAAGAGACAAAGGAUCCUCUUGACGCAAGCCCCGCUGGGGAGUUAUGAAACCUCAUGGCUGACCAUUGAGAAGUACCCUAUAUUGAACUGACGAUAUACAUUCCAACACUAUUUCCUAAUUACAAAUCUUUAAUCAAACUCUAUAUCCUAAAUUCUAACUUCAAACAUAAACUAUACAUUCAAUACUCUAAACAUAAACUUCAAACCUUAUAUCAUAAAACACUAAAAUUUGUUUUACAACACUAAACUUUAUUUAUAUAACUUAUAUCAUAAAACACUAAGUUUAUUUUAAAUUUCAAACCCUAUAUCCAAGCUUCUAACCCUAAUUAUGUUCUAACUCUUACUUACAAAAGUAACAAAAUAUUAAAAGGUUCAAGCCCUUAUUAAGUUUAUAAUUUUUCAAAAUUUUAAAAAAACCUUAACUUCAUACACUAUAUCCAAACUUUUAAUAUCUAUUUUAACCUUAUAUAAAAAUCAAACACGUCAGUAUCAUAUCUACUCAAUUUAAAUUAAUAUUUUAAUUUUUAUGUUAAAAAAUUCAAAAGCUUGAUAUAUAAAUUUUUUAUUAUCCAAGAUAUAAAUUAAAUAUAACUAUAAAUCAAAAUUUUAUAUAACUUUCCCAAAGAUAGAAAAUCAAUUAACAAAAAAAAUUGUAAAAGUUUAGAAGAUAUGAUGAGCAUGUUAUUGGCUAAGAAAGUGCCUAUAUAUUAAAAAAAAUGAUAUAAUCAAAAUUUAUUUUAAAUCUAAAUCUUAAAUUUAAAUUUUACAUCUGUUUUCAAAACUUCAAUUUUUAAAUUUAAAUGCUAAACUCUAUUUCAUAAACUCUUAACUCUAUUUUCUAAUACCUAAAUACCAAUCACAAAGUUGAACUUUUAAAAUUUAAAUCAAAAUUUUUUCUUCCAUCUCCUCCUCUUCCCUCUUUCCGUGAAAAAUCUGAUCGAAUUGCUUCUCCCUGCCAUGAAGUUCACAUCGUCUCAAGCUCCGGAAGCUUACCACCUCGCCUCUUUUCGACUCGACUCGCCUCUGCUAGAAUCUCCUCGCCUCUGCUAGACUCUCCUCGCUUCAUCUCGACUCUCCUUUGACUUCAAUGGACGCGGAGAUGGUGAAGCCUCGGAAGCUGCGUCGGAGAAGGCACAAAAACUGUAGUGGAGGAGACCCUGAGGCCGGAAGCAGAGACGACGACGUCUCCUGUCAAGGCUGGAGGAGGCCAGGCGCACAUGGAGGAGGGCGGCUGGAGUGUUCCUUUGUAUUUUAGGAAUAGUGUUUUUUUUUUUGGUUUAGUGUAAACCUAAUUGGAGAAAUUGUGGUGGUUUACUUUAUUUUUUUAAUUUCUGGUUUAGUUUCGUAAACUGAAAUUUAUUUAUAAAACAAUUUUAAUUUAUGAAUAAAUUUAUUUUAUUUUUAA